rnacentral:rRNA from 1 species
AGCAGCCGCGGUAAUUCCAGCUCCAAUAGCGUAUAUUAAAGUUGCUGCAGUUAAAAAGCUCGUAGUUGAAUUUCGGGACCAAUAUGUCGGUCGUGCCUCGGUACGUACAGGCAUCGUUGGUUUCUCCUUUCUGAAGAACCAUGAUGUCAUUUAUUUGGUGUCGUGGGGAAUCAGGACUGUUACUUUGAAAAAAUUAGAGUGUUUAAAGCAGGCUCACGCUUGAAUACAUUAGCAUGGAAUAAUGAAAUAGGACGUUUGAUUCUAUUUUGUUGGUUUCUAGGAUCGACGUAAUGAUUAAUAGGGAUAGUUGGGGGCAUUAGUAUUCAAUUGUCAGAGGUGAAAUUCUUGGAUUUAUUGAAGACUAACUACUGCGAAAGCAUUUGCCAAGGAUGUUUUCAUUAAUCAAGAACGAAAGUUAGGGGACCGAAGACGAUCAGAUACCGUCGUAGUCUUAACCAUAAACUAUGCCGACUAGGGAUCGGAUGAUGUUAAUUUUUUAAUGACUCAUUCGGCGCCUUGCG